AGAUAAUAUAAUCAUAAUAAAAUAAAUACUAACAGAUAAGAGAAAAAAGAAUUAAUAAAUAAAAGAAUAAUAAUAGUAAUUGAGAAAUUAUUGAAUUUCUCCAAUAAUUCUCUACAAAAUUCAAAAUUCCGAAAUAAGAAUUAAAUAUUAAAUAAAUCAAUAAAUCAAUAAAUUAUCGGGUGUUUAUACUAUGCAAUAGGUAAGAUGUCUUUAAGGACUUAACCCCACUUAGUGUAAAUAGUUUUCAUUAGAAGGAAUCGGAGUGAAUUAGAUCUUGAACUAUGUUCCUUUGGCUAUAAUUUCAACUACCACGCAUACAGUACAGAAUUUUCCGUCGCGGGUCUGUGCGUUAAUGACCAUGCACAGUACCUUGAUUUUUUAUAAGAAUUUUUAUGGAUAGCCAAUAUCACAUAGCCGCAGUUACAUACGGAUACUCUUAUAUAGGUGGUUUCCUCCAUGGAUGUGUGUAGAGUCACAUCUCACGAAAAUUACCGUCUUGGAUUCCAUUAAGGGCCCGUUUGGUUCGAGUUAUGUAAUAUUACAAAGUAUCUCGACAUAUCCAGGUAUCUUGGAUUUCGGCGUGAGAUUACUACUGAUGCUGCAUUAGCGUGUUUGGUUUAAUGCAGUAAUGUAAUACUAGAUUACACUGUUUAUAGCAUUAAUACGUUUGGUUCAGUUUAUAAAAUUUAAUAAUCCUGACAUAAAAGUAUAGUUUUUUUCAAAAUUGCCCUUGUUGUGGUCAUUUGAAUAUUAUUUUUUGCGAAAAUGAUGAAUGGAGGGAAGGAGAUCGUGAUGAUUACCUGGGAGGACGACGCAAUAGAAGAUGACAGGUGUUCGUGCGAGAGAGAGAAAGAGAGAGAGAGAGAGAGAGCAAGAGAAAGCGACGUGCGAAAGAGAAGGGGAAGGCGAGAGAGAUGAAAAUAAUGCUGUUAAUUAGAUUUGGGGUUUUUUGGAGGGUAAAAUUGUCAUUUUACAUAAUAUGUAGUAUUAACGGGUUUCAGUAAUGCAAGAUACACGACCCCCCUCCCGUUAAUAUUUUCGAUGUAAUCCUGCUCGAUUUGUAAUGCUACAUUAACGACUAGAUUACAUAGUGGAUUAACCAAACACAGUUAUCCUGGCAGGAUUGCCUGUAAUCCUGCCAGGAUAACUCGAACCAAACGCACCCUAUAUAAGAGCUAUCAGCUCAACCUCAGCCACUACACAGAGUACUACUCACCAUAGGAAUAGGAUUGGAGCUAAAACUCCUCUAUAUAGACUGUAGAAGUGCUAUUUGGUCAACUUAACAGCUUGUUUUUACCACAUUGAACCUUUUUCAAGGGAUCUUCUAUCACAAAGGUUGAAUUCUCACUGGGCAAAAUCCCAUCCCCCUUGAUGACUCUUAAACCUUAGUCCUAUUCAGCCCUUUUGUCAAAUAAUCUGUAAAAUUCUGUUCAAAUUUGAUAAAACUCAAAUAAGUAAUAUAAUAAAAAUAACUAUCUAAUAAAUUUAUGUCUCAAAAUAAUUUACUUGCCAAUCUUAGAAUUUACCAAAUUCGUUUCCAAGAUGAACACUAGGAUAAAAAAAAAACGCGGGAGCAAUUAUAAUUUUAAAAUUUAUUAAUUAAACUAAUAAAAGAGAGCCUCCCCCACAAGUUCUGAGGUACACCAAACUUUAACAAUCAAAAC
rnacentral:lncRNA from 1 species